rnacentral:rRNA from 1 species
AUGGCGGAUCCCUACCGCUCGUACCUCCCGUCCUCCUCUCACGACAGAGUUCCACUGGGCGGUUAUCCUGGGUAUGUUCCACCUGAGGAAUCAUCCUAUUAUGCUUCAAAAAUGGCUGCUCUACGAGGAAUACCAAAUGUACCUAGAGUUGAUGUACCAUUACAGUCAAGAGCUUAUGGUUUGGAUAUUCCAGCAGGCGUGAGCCAUCCUGCUUAUGGUUUGGAUGUUCCCACAGGCAUGAGCCAUCCUGCUUAUGGUUUGGAUGUUCCAGCAGGCGUGAGCCAUCCUGCUUUGGUUGGCUUGGGUGCACUGCCGGCUGGAGCUAGGCCGCGAGGACCUAGCCCUUUGGAAGACCCAGCUUUAGUCCAGAGAAGUUCUUCACUUGGCAAAAGUGUCAGUAUUCCGGAAGUUGAGCGCCCCAAACCUGUUUUGAUCGUCGAUCGGCCAUCAGAAGAUGAAUCCAACAUUCUUUUUGUUGAUGGUCUCCCAACUGAUUGCACCAGGAGAGAAGUAGCUCAUUUGUUCCGUCCUUUCGUUGGCUUCAAGGACCUCAGACUUGUGCACAAGGAGCCCAGACGUAGUGGUGACAAGGCUUAUGCUCUGUGCUUUGUGGAGUUCAGUGACGCAAAAUGUGCAGGGACUGCUAUGGAGGCUCUCCAAGAAUACCGCUUCGACGAGAGGAAGGUCGACGGCCCGUUCCUUAAGAUCCAGUUCGCAAGGUUCCCGUUCCGACCUCCGCCAGCCCAUGAAGAUCGGAAACGCCUUAGCGCUCGCUGA